rnacentral:lncRNA from 1 species
CGCUUCUCCAGACGGGAGCGCGGUUGGGCCUCCAUACAAAGGCUGCGCUUCUGCCAUGGCGGGCGGGGGAGGUGGAGGCGGUCUGGCCCAUGGCAGCCAGGGCAUGUGGCUGCGCGCUGCGGUCCACUCACACACAGUGCGGGACACAGAGGCCCCUGGAAAGAGCACACUGAGUGGGAGAGCAAAUUCUGGAACUGUCGCAGGCGGAAACCACACAAGGGGGAAACAGACAAAACAGCAAACCCGGAAGAACCAUUCCCGCUUCCGAAGCUCCAUGAUCACGGCAGACGCUUCUUAAAACCUCCCGUUUAAUAUCAGAUGCCACACAUACGAGAUCGAUGUGCACGUCGGGAGAAACCACAGCACAGCCAGGAGUACUGGCGCACAGUGAAUACGCUUCCGUCCUUUCAAAAGCCUUUCCCGAACGGUAUCUUGUAAAAAAUGCCAAAAAUAAAAUGAAAAAAACUGCCAGGAAAAGAGAACUGGCUUUCAGUGUUAACGAAAUGGAUUCUCCAGAAGCAUGGAAAUCAGGACUGCCA